rnacentral:rRNA from 1 species
UACGUAGGGUGCGAGCGUUGUCCGGAAUUAUUGGGCGUAAAGGGCUCGUAGGCGGUUUGUCGCGUCGGGAGUGAAAACCCAGGGCUUAACCCUGGGCUGGCUUCCGAUACGGGCAGACUAGAGGUAUGCAGGGGAGAACGGAAUUCCUGGUGUAGCGGUGAAAUGCGCAGAUAUCAGGAGGAACACCGGUGGCGAAGGCGGUUCUCUGGGCAUUGCCUGACGCUGAGGAGCGAAAGUGUGGGGAGCGAACAGG